rnacentral:lncRNA from 10 species
ACCUCAAAAAUCAGACUCCAAGUUCUUCAGUUUUGGAAGUUGGACUGGCUCUCCUUGCUCCUUAACUUGCAGACAGCCUAUUGUGGGACCUUGUGAUCAGGUAUUCUGCUGACACUCAACAGACAUUGUCUUCAAAAUGUACUCUCAAGUGGUCAGGAUCCUAUUCUCAUGGUACUAUUUCCUCGCUUAGAAAAUAAAGGAUGAAAUGAACUACACUAUUGGAGCUACUAUAAAGAUGAAAGAAGAUGAAAGUUUUCAGUAGGAUUGUUGCCAUGUAGUAAACCCCUUAUAAAUAGUAUGUAUAAUAAUUUGUCACAUGCUGUUAGGUUAAGCCAUCAACAACAAACAUGGCAAUAAUUCAAGUUCAAAAAUACAGACGGGUUUGAAUUAACAUUGCACAAUGAUUUGUUUGUGUUUUCUUGUUUUUCCAAAUUCAGUGUUAUAUUCUACUUUCAUAUUUUGUGAGCAUUUAUUAACUGAACGACUGCCACAUGCAUGGCAGUGUGCUAAAUAUUUGAGUGCAUUAUGAUUUCACCCAUUAUGGGGUUUAAAUCCAUCUGAAAAGUAAAGAUUAAGACCCAUGAAUCUGUGCAUAAUUCAAAUGAUACUUAUUCACGUGUAUUGUGUGGUAGAGAAAAUGAAUGUAUAGGAAAGAAAGAGAAUGAAAGUGAAUGAGGAGGAAAAUUAAAUACAGUCAGGAAAGGCUUGAUAAAGGACUUAAGAACUUGAAUAUGAUUGUGAAACAUAGUUAUAAUUUCUAAGAACAGCUGAGGAAAAAAGCUUAAUUUGUAUAGUUUAUGAAGGAAUGCAUAUGUUUGUGUUUCACAGAAUUUAGAGUUAAGAAUACACACACACACUACACAGAAACUCAGAAAACCUAUGCUACUUGCUCAGGUAAUUAAUUACUAGUCAAUGGUAAAGUUCAAACUGAUGUCUAGGUCUCCUGCUCCUGUUCCAGUACAUUUUUACCGCAAUACAUUGAGUGAGCAAGCUUUCAAAAGCUUCUUGAAUUAUUCAUAUGGAUAUGGAAAAUCCUAUCUUACAACAUAAGGC